CCUGAUCCCAUCCCGAACUCAGUAGUGAAACGAUGCAUCGCCGAUGGUAGUGUGGGGUUUCCCCAUGUGAGAGUAGGUCAUCGUCAAGA
rnacentral:rRNA from 2 species